GGGUGAGUAACACGUGGGUAACCUACCUCAUAGUGGGGGAUAACAGUCGGAAACGACUGCUAAUACCGCAUAGGACAUGGGAUCACAUGAUUCUGUGAGGAAAGGUGGCGCAAGCUAUCGCUAAGAGAUGGACCCGCGGUGCAUUAGCUAGUUGGUAGGGUAACGGCCUACCAAGGCGAUGAUGCAUAGCCGACCUGAGAGGGUGAUCGGCCACAUUGGGACUGAGACACGGCCCAAACUCCUACGGGAGGCAGCAGUAGGGAAUCUUCCGCAAUGGACGCAAGUCUGACGGAGCAACGCCGCGUGAGUGAAGAAGGUCUUCGGAUCGUAAAGCUCUGUUGUUAGAGAAGAACAGCGCAUAGAGUAACUGCUAUGC
rnacentral:rRNA from 1 species